rnacentral:rRNA from 1 species
UGGGGAAUAUUGCACAAUGGGCGCAAGCCUGAUGCAGCCAUGCCGCGUGUAUGAAGAAGGCCUUCGGGUUGUAAAGUACUUUCAGCGGGGAGGAAGGGAGUAAAGUUAAUAUCUUUGCUCAUUGACGUUACCCGCAGAAGAAGCACCGGCCAACUCCGUGCCAGCAGCCUCGGUAAUACGGAUGGUGCAAGCGUUAAUCGGAAUUACUGGGCGUUACGCGCACGCAGGCGGUUUGUUAAGCCAGAUGUGAAAUCCUCGGGCUCAACCAGGGAAAUGGAUCUGCUGAAGGAAUGAUUGAGUCUCGUAGAGGGGGGUAGGAUUCCAUGGGUAGCGGUGCAAUGCGUAGGACACAGGAGGAAUACCGGUAGCGGAGACGGGCCCCUGGACGAAGACAAACGCUAAGGUGCGAAAGCGUGGGGAGCAAAGAGG